CCUACGGGUGGCUGCAGUCGAGGAUCUUCUGCAAUGGGCGAAAGCCUGACAGAGCGACGCCGCGUGAGGGAUGAAGGCCUUCGGGUUGUAAACCUCUUUCGCCCGUUACGAAUGCCCGGACGUGAAUAGCGUCCUGGUUGACUAAGGCGGGUAAAGAAGCACCGGCUAACUACGUGCCAGCAGCCGCGGUAAUACGUAGGGUGCAAGCGUUACUCGGAAUCACUGGGCGUAAAGGGUGCGUAGGCUGCUUGUUAAGUUGGAUGUGAAAGCCCUCGGCUCAACCGAGGAACUGCGUCCAAAACUGGCGGGCUUGGGGUUGGUAGGGGACAGUGGAACUCCAGGUGGAGCGGUGAAAUGCGUAGAGAUCUGGAGGAACUCCGGUGGCGAAAGCGACUGUCUGGGCCAUACCCGACGCUGAGGCACGAAAGCCAGGGGAGCAA
rnacentral:rRNA from 1 species